UAACGUGUUUGUGUAUAAAUGCUGCUAUCUUUUCACCCGUUUUACCUGUUUUACCUCUUAUCCUGUUCCUACAGACCCACGAAUUGCAUUUUGCGGUACUUUGGCUUGUUUUCGAGAGAAACUCAAGCUGUCGCUUUACUGGUGGAGCAAAAGCCUGUGGGGAACACAAAGAAGAACUACUGAAAAAAAAGGAUCUUGGGCCCAAAAGGAACCUGCUGACAAAUAUUUCCUUUGAAAUCAGGAAUAAUUAAUGUGGCGUUUUGCGGGCGAAGCGCUAUCGUCCUUUCUGUUGGCUCACGUGUGGAAGGGAGGAGAGACGCGCAGCCCGGCACACCAAUCGUGUGUCAGUGUUGAGGAACGAAAAGGCUGCGCCCCCCCACCCAAGUCCAUCACUUUUGCCUCCUGACGCCCGACUCUCGCCUGCUUCGGGACGUCCUGCACAUUGUCCACCUGUCUGCCGUCUCUCUCGAACACACGCUCGCUCGCUCGCUCGCUCUGUGGAUCGGUGCUGAGGAGCUGCAGCCAAGGCGUGUCCAGCUAUGAAGGCCCUUGUCCUGCUGUGCCUGCUCUCAAGCGGGAUUCUCCCCUCUGAUGCUCAAAUCAACGAGACAAUCUUGGCUCGGAUUGGCAGUACGAUCAGGAACAGGUAUAAUAUAAAUGGACAGUUUGCAUAUGUUCUCCGAGUUCCUGACACCCAGUGCACUAAUGGACCCGACCAGAACUUCCUGCAGGGAGACCCAAACAUCGAUGUCCAGAACGCCCUCAAUCAACAGCAAGUCUACCAAGGAAACAAUAUCAUUAUUGCACAACCCUCGAAAAUGCAGAAUUACGCCAUACACGCCGAGUACCGCCUCCUCACUCCACCGCAGAGCGGUGCCGAGGCCCCUAUCGACAUCCUUCUUCGUCAAGGUGGUCCAAACGAGUGCAUGAUCUUCUUCACAAGGAUCUCGCCGUGCCUCGACAGAUGUGCAGGUCAAGGACCCUAUUCCAUCCUCAAUCGCCUGGGGGCAAUAGCAGGCUGGGGGGGCAGGAAGGUGUUUUAUUUUGUGGAAGUGUAUAGCGUAGACCAGAGCAGGAGGAAGGAUGUACUGGAGGCUUUGAAGACUAUCAACAGAAGGGGAAACGUUCCCAUUUUCCGUUGCCGUGGUAACGCCUGUUUCAACUGCCUGGCCGACGAAGCAAGGUGUGUGGCAUGAAGGUAACCAAAUGGGCCUCACACCUCUUGCUUAUCGCUGUCCUCCUGCACUCCUUCUGCAUCUGUCCAAACUCUGUCCAUUUCCCUUCUUUGACUUGCAAAUAAAAACUGGUGCAGCGUCA
rnacentral:lncRNA from 1 species